UACGUAGGGUGCAAGCGUUUGUCCGGAAUUAUUGGGCGUAAAGAGCUCGUAGGCGGUCUGUCGCGUCGGCUGUGAAAACUCGGGGGCUCAACCCCCGAGCCUGCAGUCGAUACGGGCAGACUAGAGUGCGGUAGGGGAGACUGGAAUUCCGUGGGUGUAGCGGUGAAAUGCGCAGAUAUCAGGAGGAACACCGGUGGCGAAGGCGGGUCUCUGGGCAACAACUGACGCUGGAGAGCGAAAGCGUUGGGGAGCGAACAGG
rnacentral:rRNA from 1 species